GCACAGCAGCUGCACGCGCCGUGGCUCCGGAGCUCUUCGUCUUUGCAGCGUAGCCCGAGUCGGUCAGCGCCGGAGGACCUCAGCAGCCAUGUCAAAGCCCCAUAGUGAAGCCGGGACUGCCUUCAUUCAGACCCAGCAGCUGCAUGCAGCCAUGGCUGACACAUUCCUGGAGCACAUGUGCCGCCUGGACAUUGAUUCACCACCCAUCACAGCCCGGAACACUGGCAUCAUCUGUACCAUUGGCCCAGCUUCCCGAUCAGUGGAGACGUUGAAGGAGAUGAUUAAGUCUGGAAUGAAUGUGGCUCGUCUGAACUUCUCUCAUGGAACUCAUGAGUACCAUGCAGAGACCAUCAAGAAUGUGCGCACAGCCACGGAAAGCUUUGCUUCUGACCCCAUCCUCUACCGGCCCGUUGCUGUGGCUCUAGACACUAAAGGACCUGAGAUCCGAACUGGGCUCAUCAAGGGCGUGAGUAUUCUGCGGAGAGCGAGGGGAAAGCUCAGUAGGCAAUAUGCCCCAGAGACAUGUCCUCCAAAGCGCUGGGUUGCCAUGUUUCUUCCCAGUACUAUGAAGGACUGCAGAGGAGUUGAGGUCUACAAAUGAGGAUUUAUUCAUCACUGUAAACAAUGUUGAUUUGAUCUACUUUGCUAGGAAAUGGUACCACAAAGGAACCUUUUUUUUUAACCCUAAAAACCUAAACUUUAGGCUUUCUAACUUGGAGAACCAUCUCUUUGUAUCUUUUUCCCCAUCAUUAA
rnacentral:sRNA from 1 species